GAUGAAGAACGCAGCGAAAUGCGAUAAGUAAUGUGAAUUGCAGAAUUCAGUGAAUCAUCGAAUCUUUGAACGCACAUUGCGCCCGCCAGUAUUCUGGCGGGCAUGCCUGUUCGAGCGUCAUUUCAACCAUCAAGCCCCCGGCUUGUGUUGGGGACCUGCGGCUGCCGCAGGCCCUGAAAAGCAGUGGCGGGCUCGCUGUCACACCGAGCGUAGUAGAUUUCAUCUCGCUCAGGGCGUGCUGCGGGUUCCGGCCGUUAAACCACCUUCAUAACCCAAGGUUGACCUCGGAUCAGGUAGGAAGACCCGCUGAGCUUAAGCAUAUCAAUAAGCGGAGGA
rnacentral:misc_RNA from 1 species